rnacentral:rRNA from 1 species
UGCCAGCCGCCGCGGUAAUACGGAGGGGGCUAGCGUUGUUCGGAAUCACUGGGCGUAAAGGGCGCGUAGGCGGUCUGACAUGUCUGACGUGAAAGCCCCGGGCUCACCCCGGGAAGUGCGUUGGAAACUGUCAGACUAGAGUCUCGGAGAGGGAGGUGGAAUUCCAGGUGUAGCGGUGAAAUGCGUAGAUAUCUGGAGGAACAUCAGUGGCGAAGGCGGCUCCCUGGCCAAAGACUGACGCUCAUGUGCGAAAGUGUGGGUAGCGAACAGGAUUAGAUA